rnacentral:rRNA from 1 species
UACGUGAAACCGUUUAGGGGUAAACCUGAGAAACCCGAAAGGUCGAAGGGAGAAAUUCAUUCGCGUUUCGCCGUCGGCGGGAGGCGGUCGUGCGACGGAAGACGCGUUCGCGCGCGUCAUCCGCGCCCUCCGUUUUCGGAUCCGAAGGCGAACGCGUGCACUUUUCUCUCGGUAGGACGUCGCGAUCCGUCGGGCGUCGGUCUACGGCUCGCGGUGGAGACCGGGCGCGCGUUCACGCGCGCGCCAGGACCCGCUUGUCCCGGCCGACCCGCUCGACGGUAGGCGAACGGUCAAGGGCCGCUCCUUGCGAGCGUUCGGCCCGUCGCAAGCGCGUCAGACGUAUCGGCGAUCGGACCUCGUGCCGGUUCCGAUCUCUGGCGACUGUUGGCGGCGGACGUCUCGAACAGACCUCUGACCGAUCCGCGACGCUAUAGCUUUGGGUACUUUCAGGACCCGUCUUGAAACACGGACCAAGGAGUCUAGCAUGUGCGCGAGUCAUUGGGAUCAACUAAACCCAAAGGCGCAAUGAAAGUGAAGGUCCGCCUCGCGCGGACUGGGGGAGGAACGGGCGGUCCGCCCUUAAAAGCGGCCGCCUCGCACUCCCGGGGCGUCUCGUUCUCAUCGCGAGAAGAGGCGCACCGAGAGCGUACACGCUGGGACCCGAAAGAUGGUGACCUAUGCCUGAUCAGGACGAAGUCAGGGGAAACCCUGAUGGAGGUCCGUAGCGAUUCUGACGUGCAAAUCGAUCGUCGGAAUUGGGUAUAGGGGCGAAAGACUCAUCGAACCAUC